ACUCCCUUGUCACGUUGGGUUAGCGUCACCCUUUUGGAUGAGACGCUUCCCAGGGAUGCAGCCCCCUUUCUUCGCCAGUAUUUCCAGAAUGUGCAAGUUUCUAAAUGAGACCUGACAGGAUGAAUGGUUCUGUCACCCAAUGUCCAGAGGAGAAGAGAGAGCAGGAGCUUGUAGCAGGUCACUGGGCGACACUUCUGGAUGGGCUCUGGGGUCUGUCAAGGCUGCACCCAUCAGGCCACCCCCCACUACUGUCCACCCCCCACUACUGGCCACCCCCACUGCCACGCCUUCUUGAUUGCUGCAAGUAGCCCUGGGGAAAAGUGCAUCUCGCUAGACCUGGAACUCCAAGACACCCGAGGGAUUGCCUUGCUGGAGCCCAGCUUUUGUUUCAGAAACUACAGAAAAGGCCCAUCCUGGCGCCUGGGAAAAUAGCCGACCUCCUGGGGAAUUGCUAAAGAUCACCGCCUGGGGACAAGUGGAGGCAUCCGGGCCUUUGUGUUCCAGGGAGAGGCAGAGACCACCUGCCCCUGGGAACAGCUGCCUGCCCAGGACAGGAAUGUUGCAGUUUUUUUCACCUAAUCCUUCUUGAACUUCAAAACCUCUCUCACCACCUCUUGUUUAUUCUGUGCUAUGAAAACCUUGGCCUGGAAAGAAAAGGAAGGUGAUAUGUUAGGGUAUGAACCUGCCAUCUUCUCAGAUCGCUGGCCAUCUGAAUAAAGUGCCCAUGAAGAUUC